rnacentral:lncRNA from 1 species
UAACUUCUCUCUCUGCCAAUACACAAUAGCCCAUAGGAGAUGAAAAUUGGAGCUUUUGAUCACCAUGUAUGGCCAAUUAUUUGCAGCACCUUGUUGCUCAUGGUUUUUCUAGCAAAGUUCCUGCGGAAAAAAGUUAAGAAGAAUGUGAAGAAUAGGAAGUUUCAGUUACCUCCAGGAAGAAGAGGCUGGCCAAUAAUUGGUGAUAGCAUCAAAUGGUACAAUGCAGUUGCAAGUUCUCAUCCCCCUCAGUUUGUUGAAGAGCAGGUUCAAAGGUACAUAGGCCCACUCCAUGCUACUGCUACAAUUUUUAGUUUAUGUGCAUUAUGUUGUUACCUCUAAUAGUGUAUAAUUUUGAGUUGCAAUACCUUGUAAAUUGAUUUGUCCAUGCUCUCAGUUUCUUCAUACACAUGGUUGAACUUCUGCCAAUGAGUCAAGUUCUCUUGCUACAAAAGAAUUGCUCCACCUGAUGAGUCCAAAUAUGUGAUCACGAUCUGGCUAAAUUAGUUAUUGUACCCUGUAAUAUUUCUACCAUCUCUAGAUUUUAAUCCAGAGUCCUAAAUACUGAACAGGUAUGGAAAAAUAUUCUCAUGUUAUCUAUUUGGAAAAAGGGCAGUGGUAUCAGCAGAUCCGAAAUUUAACCGGUUUGUGAUGCAAAAUGAAGGCAAACUAUUCCAGUCAAGUUAUCCAAAAUCUUUCCGAGAUUUGGUAGGGAAGAAUGGGGUAAUCACUGCACAAGGAGAGCAACAGAAGAAGCUGCACUCAAUAGCAUCUAACAUGAUGCGCUUGGAGAAACUCAAGUUCCAUUUCUUGCAGGACAUACAGAGAGUCAUAAAUCAAACCUUCAACAACUUGCAUGAUAAUCAAGUCAUUUGUCUCCAGGAUAUUUGCAGGAAGGUAAUUACUUCACUUCCACACUCAGGCUUCUGGAGAUUGCAUUCUUCCUAACUAAAACAAGCUUCACAAAACUAGUUGGACUGCUUGCUUAUCUUAGAUAUGGUUCAUGUCCUGGUCAACUCUGUUGAGCUCUCAUGUUUAAUAAGCCAUAUAUGCAUGGAUCAGGUAGCCAUUAAUUUGAUGGUCAAUCAACUUCUUGGAGUAUCCAAUGAUUCAGAAGUCAAUGAGAUGGCUCAGUUGUUCUCUGAUUUUGUGGAUGGCUGUCUUUCAAUUCCAAUCAAUCUUCCAGGCUUUGCUUACCAUAUUGCUAUGAAGGUGACUCUUCCAAUAGACAGAUAAAACCAUUGCCUUAAAAUUACAGCUCUUCAUAUUAACAUUCUGAAAUCCUUUAUUCUUCAAAGAACACUAUUUCACUAUCUGAAUAUUUUCUGGCCAUAAAACAUUUCAUCAUGCUAGUAACCAGCUUACUCAUGAACACACUUCGUCAACCACCACAAGGUGCAGUUCAAGUCAUGCUUGCCACUCGAAGUGUCAAAAACUUACAACCCUAAAGGCACUACUGCUUUUUCCUCAAAUUUUCAUCUUAGUUCAAAUGUUAUUGUUUGCUAUACCAAAAGAUUUCACAUGUAAUAUGAAUUUGAAAGUGCAAUCAGCAUCAUCAUAUCAAAUGCCACCCAGCUAAAUAGACGGAUAUUAACAAAGAUGUAAUUUUCGAAUGUCAGUGUUCUGUUUUGAGAAAGAUAGCUCAAAAGCUCUUGUAUUUGAUGCCUCUUUUAAUCUCAAACAGGCAAGGGAAAGUAUAAUAAGCAAAAUUAACAAGACAAUAGAGACUCAUAGGCAGCAACCUUCUUCAGGAGUUGGUAAUGGUGUGCUCCAGAGAAUACUAGAGGAAGAAAGCUUACCUGAUGAUGCAGUUGCUGACUUCAUAAUCAAUCUUUUAUUUGCGGGAAAUGAGACAACAGCCAAAACCAUGCUAUUUGCUGUUUAUUUUCUUAGUCAAUGUCCCAUGGCCAUGAGACAACUCCUGGUAAUUUACAUAAGACAUUCUUAAAGUUGCUAAAUUAUUUGCUAUAUCAUUUAUUUAGCAUGGUCACCACUUGAUCAACUUCAAUAAAUGUUCCUCUUAAGAAUAGGUUGAACAAGAACGGCUGAAGACUGCAAGAAACAACUUUGGUGGAGAAAUGAUGCUUACAUGGCAAGAUUAUAAAGCAAUGCCCUUUACUCAAUGUGUAGGUCUUCUGCAAUCUUUCCCCAGUUCCGCUCAAUUUCUUAUACAGUGAAGUUUCAUAUUCUCAUUUCCAAGGCAGUGUAACAUCCAAGUUUGUCUAAUCAGUGCCAACAAGUCAUUAACUCUAGUUUCUAAAACCCCUCUAGGACUCCAAACUUGAGUUGAAGUAGAUUUUGACUAAGUUACAUACAUUCAAAGGACUAGUUUUUGUGAUGUUAAGAUUACCAACUACCUGAAUAUUUGCAAUUAUGAUGCUCCAGCACAAAGAUGUUACUAAGCCAGAAACCUUUUUCAUUAGAAUGCAUCAAGUGAAACAAAUUCUCAUUCUUAGUUUUGUUGUGUUUUGAUUUAUGUGAAAUGGUCCUGUCCAAUCAUGCUACUUUUACUAGUCCCCCAGCCGUUGGGUGGGUCAAAACUUGAACUAAAAUGCAAUGGGAUUACAAAAAUAUAGAAAGAAUUUGAACUCGAAACAUCCCAUAAUUCCAACAUCAACUUCCAUCAUGAGGAAGACAAAUAUUUAAUCUACUUGGAACCUAAUACAUCCCAAGGUUGUUUGGAUUUUCUUUUCUUAUACUAUUCCUUGCUUAAGUUUAUUGCUACCAAAAAGCUAGUGGUUCUUGGAUUUUUUUUUUUUUGCUCACUUUAAUUGAUCAGGAAAUAGUCUAAUAUAAUAACAUGAGUUAAAAUUCAGAUCCAGAAGUUCACUAAAAAAUUGGAAUAAACCAUUCUCUGCUACAGGUAAUAGACGAAACUCUUCGGUUGGGAGGAAUUGCAAUUUGGUUGAUGAGAGAAGCCAAAGAAGAUAUUCGUUACCAAGGUAUGUCAACAUUUCCACGUACUAGGUGGUGAAAAUAUACAUAUCUUCAUGAGGAAUCAAAGUUAACCAAAGUCAUUCAUAUAACAGAAAACUUCCAACAAAGAAUAAUAUAUAGAUUAGCAAAAGGAAACUACUGUUUCUGUUUUCCACCUAUUACUUUGUGUAGUGAUUUUAUUAGAUGUUGAUUUCCCAUCAGAAUGUUGUCAUUGUUUUUCUCUGUUACAAGAGUCUUGUUUCUUUUCUCUAGCGACAGAAUCAUUACAUUUUGAAGUGCCAUAAAUGAUAUGGGGCCCUAUUUAAUCACUCUGUUCUAGCCUUGCAAGACAAAAUCAUACAUCAGAGAAAACUAGUGACAGUUAAAUUUCAAUUCUGAAGUAAAUAAAGCUAAAAUUAUAUUCUUACAUUACUUUUGCAGAUUAUGAUAUUCCCAAAAGAUGCUUUGUCGUUCCAUUUCUCUCUGCAGUCCAUUUAAAUGAAACAGUUUAUGAAGAAGCUCUUAAUUUCAAACCUUGGAGAUGGAUGAUUCCAGAAAAUCAGGCAAGUCUAAAAUGAACUUCUUACUAAAAUGUAUUUCCAUGGGAGAACACAUUAUUCAGUCUUUUCCUUUCUGUCUGUAAUUCCAAUCUAAAGACUAUUAUUUGAAUUCUAAAGUGCAACAAUCUUUCUCUGAUAAAGGAAAAGAGGAAUUGGAGAAACAGUGCACUUUUUGCUCCCUUCGGUGGAGGCGCUCGCUUUUGUCCUGGCGCUGAAUUGGCUCGCCUUCAAAUAGCACUCUUUCUUCAUUACUUCAUCACUACAUUUAGGUUGUUUCCCUUCCUUACUUAUAGUUUCUAUGCAUUCAUAGCUUCAAGAGAACCAUCAAAACUUCAACAUAUCCAAAGAAGUCAUUUUUCAUUCUUUACUAAUUAAGACCAGCAAUGAGAGAGCAACUUUAGCAAUUCAUUCUCCUAAAAGCUAGUCUAUUGCUUGUAGGUGGAAUCAACUCAAGGAGGAUAGAAUGUCUUUCUUCCCAUCAGCUCGGUUGGUAAAUGGAUUUCAAAUUCAGUUGAGGAGAAUACCGGAUGAUGACAGAAAAUGAAUAAAAGGCCUUUUUUAAGCCUUUUUUAAGCAACAAUUUACGUUUCUACAUGUUUUAUAUUGCUUUGUUGUUUAUAUUGUCUGUAAAUGGUCUUGUAUCCUGACUUCUCUGCACCAUGAUGAAGUGUGGACCAUGGAGGGAAUUCCAAUUCAAAGAGUAAUAAUAAUAUUGUGAGUACAAAAAGGACAUCAAAUUGGCCUACUGUGCUAUCAUAAAUCUUAUGCAAUAAGAUUAAGCACAUUCCAUAACUAUCAGUAGUCUGGGUUCCUCCUAGGGAGAGCAGAAAUGAUAAACCACUAAAAGAAAACAAGAAGAGCUUGAUAAAAUAAGAUGGAGAGUCAAAAAAUCAUUAAAGUAAACAAAAAGUAAAUAGAGAAACAAGGACACAUAUCAAGGCAUAUAAACAAGCACACGGCAGAAGGAAGUAAUCUGCACAUAAAAGAGGAAGUUGAUAGAACUGCCCUGAUAUGCAAACACUGGACUGUCUGUUUUUAAGAUUCUGGAAACAAACUAAGCAGUGGAAAUAUCAUCCCAUUGGUGUCUUCUGGUGACAAUGUAAAAGAUCAGAACUGUUUCCCAACUUCUUCUAAAAUCAAAAUAUUUGGAAGGAUGACAAGGUCAUUAAUUUACUGGGAAGUAUUUGGUGCAACGACAAAUUCAUAUGAACUGAAAUGAAAAAUAAAGAAGUUAUAAAGGGAAGCAUUGUUUGGUUUUAGGAACUACUGAGAAAAUGCAAGUUGCCUGAAAAAAAAAGUUUUCUGGUUCACCUUAAUGGUAGUUUUAUUGCAUUGGUUGGCAGUAGAAAGAAACACACAGAAUUAAUCUGUAAUUUGGAUGAAGCACGAGAAUGAUUGUUGAAACGCUUGGUUGACCAUGCCACACGUCCAGAUCCAGAAAAUAUGUUGACAAAAUCAGGACCAAUGCUGACUUUUUUCAGGGCCCAACAAUCUCAGACAAAAUUAGUUUUAUUUUUAACUUAAUUUUAAUGCUUUGCAUCCGCGGAAAGAUCAUUUCUUAUUCUUAGAUUUCUACAUCGAAGAUUCAGCUUUCGUUUGUGCGACCAAUAGAACCUGAACCAUCAUGACAAUGAAAGGCUUACCAAAUAAGGCACUUUCUAAGCGAGCAAAUACAGCAAACAACUUAUGCAAUUCAUCAAAUUAUAAUUUGGCUUUGAACUUCAACUACAUCUUCCUGAAAAUUAUCAUGAAAUCUGAAAUUAUUGAAAUCAAUCUUAUACAAGAGCCAUUACCAUUUUCGAUACAUAAAACUCUGAAUCAUACACACACAGUAACCUACCUUCUGCAUUGCUAGAAAGCAAUAAAACUUCCUGCUAUAGCUCAAUUUCCCUAUCACAAAUCUCCAUAAUGCACAAAUUCACAGCGAUAAGGUCAAAUAAAAUUCCUAAAUAAAAUAACAAGACAAUAAUAUCCAUUCUUUGUUACUAAGAAGAAUUUCAUUGCAAGAGAGAAUCUGACCUGGGAUUGACCCAAAACAAGCAUUAGAGAAGUCUUUAUUCAAUAUCUUUCCCAAAUGGAUGAUCAAUUUCGCUGCUGAAGAAGACUUAUGAGUUAUGACCCUGUUAGCUAGGAGUUCCAUGCAUGAAGAAACCCUCCGUGGACCAAAUUUGGGUUCAUGGUUAAUAACUCCAGCACAGGCCUCACCACCUAUGUCGAUAGAAAUUCCCUUGGUGGCCGGAUUUCACAGGUUUCAGAUGGGGCUGCGGUUUCCUAUGCUAGCUUGGGGUCGUAAAGGUUGGCGGGAAGCCGUUGGCCAUGGCUGUUGCAAUUUGAGAU